rnacentral:rRNA from 1 species
UACAGGGGGGGCAAGCGUUGUUCGGAAUUACUGGGCGUAAAGCGCACGUAGGCGGAUCGAUCAGUCAGGGGUGAAAUCCCAGGGCUCAACCCUGGAACUGCCUUUGAUACUGUCGAUCUGGAGUAUGGAAGAGGUGAGUGGAAUUCCGAGUGUAGAGGUGAAAUUCGUAGAUAUCAGGAGGAACACCGAUGGCGAAGGCAGCUCGCUGGGACGGUACUGACGCUGAGGCGCGAAAGCGUGGGGAGCAAACAGG